GAUUAAAUGGCUGAUUUAGGUAAUAAACUGUAAAUUUAUUUAUGAGAAUAAUUUCUCUUUAACUA
rnacentral:tRNA from 1 species